UUUUUUUUUUCUGGAGUGGAUGAAUAGGAGUACAAUUGCUCAGUGGAAUUCUUUCGAUCGCCAUUUCUAGUUCAAGAAUGGGAGAUGGCAGAUGCAAAUGGAUCAAUAAAGGAAACGCUUCGCCUUGAUUUGAUUGAGAGAUCCUCCGAUAAGUACAAAACUGCAGAUGUUCUCAUCUUCAACACAGGUCACUGGUGGACUCAUGAGAAAACUUCCAGAGGGUAAAACUCAUUCUCCCUCUCACUCUAUGUCAUUAAUUAAUUUUCGGAACUCGGAAAUACUAAACGAAUAUAAGAAUCUUGCAGGAAGGGUUACUAUCAAGAGGGUAGCUACAUCUACGAUGUAUUGAACGUUAAAGAGGCAUUUCGGAAAGCUUUAACAACAUGGGCAAGAUGGGUGGAUACCAACAUAAAUCCUGAGAAAACUAUUGUUUUCUUCCGGGGCUUUUCACCUAAUCACUUUAGGUACAUAGACCACAUCCAGUACUUCUUAACUUUUAAAACCUCACAGUUCGUUCACAAAUAUACAGCAUCUUCAUAAACCUUUUACCCUUUGCAGAGGUGGAAGAUGGAAUUCGGGAGGGCAAUGCCAUGAUCUAAUAGAGCCACUUGCAAAGGAGACAAAUAGAGGAAAAUAUGCAUCAAAAUUGAGAAUAUUUGACUCAGUAAUCACUGGAAUGAAGACGCCAAUAUUCUAUCUAAACAUUACGAGAAUGACUGAUUUCAGGAGGGAUGCUCAUCCAUCGAUUUACAGAAAGCAGAAUUUUACAGAGGAGGAGCGGAAAUCGCCUUUGAGACACCAGGAUUGCAGUCACUGGUGCCUCCCUGGUGUUCCUGAUACAUGGAAUGAGCUUCUAUAUGCUCAGCUCGUUCGACAUAACCAGAAGCAACAACAACAGCAGCGUCAAGACCCACAGCAACAGAAACCCUAGAUAAAUGAUUAGACAGAUGCCUUGUAUAGAUGGGAUCAUGUCAAAAUAGUUUUGGAGAAAAUGUUUUCUGUUGCAUCUUUCUAUAGAAUUGUAGAAGGAAACAAAAUGAUGUGAUAUUCUUUGUAAAAUUGAGUCUCGGUAAUAUAAGCUGAUAAUAUCUUUUUGUGCAAAUGGAAGUAAGAUGAUAAUUGUGAGUUCUGUCAUAUGAGUUAGAAGAUGAGAUCGUUGCUCUCGUAGCCAUGGUCGUCACAACCAUCAUACGAAGCAAAAGCUUAACUAGGUUUACGAUUACACAACCUUAAUUAUUUCAAAUAAUGCUCAAUACCAGAGUAGCAGAAGAUACAUAUGUACGGUGUUAAACAAACAAACUGUUCCACAUGAAGCAAGUGAAUGAGAUCAGUCGGUAGACUCAGCACAGCCUUAGGAGAAAGGCUUAACUACCACCAAAUAGGCAAUGUGAUGGUAUUCCAAACUAAUUUCGCACUACAUGUGAGCGAUCGAUAUUUAUUUAGAAAAUAGUCACAAUGGCGUACACGUUGUAGCUGUAAGUCCUUCUCCAGCCCCGUUUAAAGAACACGUGAAAUAUGCAUAUAUGAAUCUCUACGGUGUGAAGGAAACAAAAUGCUCCAAUGUAGCAAGUGAGAUCACUCAGCACGGCCCAGGAAGAAAGACUUGCCUACACCGAAUGUGCACAUCUGAUCUGACCAUUGUGUUAAUUUAAUUUGUAGAAAUGAAACUAGGGGCUUAAAAAAUUGAGGAAUAUUCAGCAGCAUAAAGGUGAUGUUACCACUAGUUGUAGAAACAUGGGGGUCUUUGGAUUGUUUGAUGGAUGUGUUUUGAGUCAAACAAUUACUGGAAGAGCAUAGAAUUUCCGUUAUGUUGGUUUAUGAUUAACUUCUUUUGCAGGUUGGAUGGUAAGAACAUAAUGGGAUUAUAGUGAGGAAAGCGCCUAGUUUUUGUUGGUGCGUGAUUCUCUUUGAGGGAAUAUGUUAGAUCAUCCAUCGGUCUGUGUCUUGUUAGAAGUUCAUUGGAUGAUGAGAGCGGAGUUGUUGAAGCCUCUCGUAGGAGCAAAUUUCGUACACAAGGAUCUUGCUCGUUCAUAUUCAAGGUAUGUUGUUGAGUUGUUCAUUAGCCAUUUCGUUACAAGCAGAGUGAAUGAGAAAGUUCGCACCACUGGAUACAAUUUGCUAUGACUUGAGAUUUCCAAUUCAAACAAGUAGAAAUUUAUGUUUGUUGUAGAAUGGAUCGAUAGGAGUAUAACCGUUCGGUAUAAUUCCUUUAAUCACCAUUUCUAGUUCAAGACUAGGAGAUGCCUCCUGGUUAACUGAGUUUUCUUCUGCCAUUCUUUGUGAGCUGAAAGAAACUCAAGAACAAGGACAUGCAGAGACUGCCUGAGGAUACCCGGUCUGAUACCAUGUGGAAAAAUGAUAAAAGUGUGUGUGUGUGUGUGUGUGUGUGUGUAGAUAUUCAAUAACAUUUCAAUUAUAUGUCACACUGAUUGGAGGACGUUUAAGUAGCAACAAGGAGAAGAUGUACACACCACAACUUUCUCCUUAAGUUAACCUUGACUGCAGGAUUUGUACAAACAUCCAUGAAUUAAGGCAAAUGAUUUCGGGACUAAGAGUGAAACAAAGAAAACCCGAGUUUCCAUGAUAUAAGCUGAUAAUAUAUAUCUUCUUCAAAUAUAUGUGGUUGAUUAUAGUGAAUUCGAUCUGUCUUUUUUCAAGUUUACCGAGAAAAGUGGACUAGUAGCCAUAGAAGCUCAAAGAUGAGCUCGGUACUCGUAGUCAUGAUCAUCACCAUCAUCACAUGAAGCAUCAAGCUUAACUAGUUUUACAUAACCUUAAUUAAUUUAAUUAAUAUUCAGCUACCAAAGUAGCAGCUGAUCCAUAUGAAUCUCCAUUAACCCUACGGCAGUUCAAUCGAAUCUCUCCAUCAGUACCGGUCAAGGGGCUUAUAUUCCCCAUUUUAAUCAUGGAUUCCACGAAACUCUCAAAGAAUGCGCUCUGAUUAGUGCUGAAGUUGUUGACAACGUCGAUGGUAUCAGCCCCGCUAGUUGAAAACAGCUCUUGAUCGCUUUGGAGCAAGCCUUUCUGAACUUGAAGAUUUGAGAAAUAAUUUGCAUCAAAAGUGUCGGGAGUUACAGGAUCAAAAUUGGUUAGCACACUGCUAUUCCCAUUCUGCGGGCAUAUCUCACUCAGUGUUUCUAAGUAGGUUGAGUUCAAGGUUGGAUCAGGACUGCCUGUGCCGCUGAAGUUAUACAAUCGAUUGGUGAAAGAUUGACAUCUAGCACGCCCAAAUGUGUGAGCACCUGUCAAUUUUACAUGUCAAAUUUUGUUAAUAUAAAAAUAAAGCAACAUAGUGAGGAUAUUUUUUUUAAAAUUUUUUGUAGCCCUGCGAUCUGCUUGCUUACCAGAUAGUGCAACCAGAUCAGUGGUGUUGAGGCCUACAGCUAAGAAGUUGGCCUUGAGUCCAUCAAGUGUUAAAGUAGGAGCUGGAAUGGCUGCGUUGGCAGCCGUGCGAUUCGCUGUUAAGCUAUCCCUUCUUCCUAAUAGCACUGUCCAUGAAGGACCUCCAGACUGUAACCAUAGAUUAAUUACUCAAUUACAAUAUCUCACGAAACAAAAUGUUUUAAAUUGUUGUUGAAGCUUGAAAUAUAUACCAAAGCAACAGAUUCUUCGGCAGCAAUGGUGAGAAUAUCAGCACAGGAAACGAUGGCGGGACAAGCAUUCUCCAAUGCAGUCUUCAUACUGUCCACAACAUCAAAUCCUCUGGCUGAGUUGUUAUUUGCAAAUGCUGUUUUUUCGCUGUCUAUGGUACUGGUAGAACUGGUACUAUUGUCCAACAGAAUUGAUCCAUCGCAACCCUGAAAUAGAAUCAACAAGUUCUUUUCAUCUCAAAAUUGCACGUUUGGAAUUUUACUUCUUCUGAAGUUCUAUAAACAAAGAAGCAGCUGUUAAUAAAAGCACUUUUGUGCUUAGGCAUUGUUCCGAAGUCCUGUAACAUAGAAGCUGCCACAUAUACAAAGUAAUCUUGGUUGGUAUUUCAAAGUUGAAUAUGUUGUUCAGCUUAAAUUUUGAAGAACUAAAGCAUUGCAUCUGAUACUAUGAUAUAUUUUCAGGGAAAUUAAUAUUAAUUCCAUAUGGUAAAAGGAAAAGAAAACAUGGGCAGAUCUUUUUGUGCUCCAAGUACAAGUUCUAUUGCUACAUUUUAAUUAAAAGGGUCCUUUACAACUACGCCCGUCAAAACCGUUGAGAAUGAGUCCUACAUUGAUGGAAAGAGGGAACUUGUAUGGACUUAUACAUAAGUUGGUUUAUUUCCCAUAUUGCCAAUUAAUUUUAUGAUGAAACCUUAACUUUCUUAAAAAGCUAUCUUAAAUAGUCAAAGCACUUAAAUCUCCUUGCACUAUACACUAAAUAAGCAUAAUACCAUAAUCGUACUGGUGCACUGACUACCGAGGCCAUUCUUAAAACCAAAAUGCUGGACUGGAAUUCGUGAUAACAACACCGGCCAAAGAAAGAUUUGUAACAAACAAAGGGAUCAGAAGCAAAGAAGUGAAUUAUACGUUGACAAAGCAAUCGUGGAAGUGAAGCCGAAUGAGGCUGGCAGCAAUCCGGGGAUCGGUCUGCAGAGCCUCUUGAAUGACUCCACGCACAAUGCUGGUGGCAUUCGGGCAUGAUUCAUCAUAAAACGUAGGAGUCAACUGAGCAUCAACAGAUCCUGCACUUGCACACAAGAUUAGUAAUAUUACAAACAUAUAUUUGUAACAAAAUUGAGCGCUACAAGAAGAAUGCAUCUUCUUAGGUGGUAAUCGAUUUUUCUAACUUAUGUGCAUCAAUGCAUAUGUGAGCCAAUUAGUAGGCCUAUUUAUGGAGUGACAGAAAGUGGAUUGGCACCAAACUGACAAGCUUUAUUGGAUAUAAAAAUGAAAGGCGUGCGUUAGGUAGAUAAGUCGAACAUGGAUUUUAAAGUUCUAAUUUAACUUUGAUAAAUAAAUAUCUAAGCCCUUUUACCCCUUUACAACCAUGCAGAUACGCUGGAAUCCAGAAUGUGGUCCCUGGAUGCAAUAUAAUCUGCCAUGUGAAUGAUAAAAUGUUGCGCCGGGAAAAGUUGAGGUUUCAAUUCAAAAAGCACCUAAUAAUUAGAGGCGUAUUGAAAUUGAAGUGUGUGCAGAUAAAAAAAAAGUUUUUUGGUCAAUAUUGUAUCUUGAUUGAAAUUCAAGCUCCACAUUAGAAAACAAUGAAAUAACUAUCACUGCAAGAAAAUGAGACAAUAUUUGUAAAUUAUCUUUUCUUAUUGAAAAAGAAAAUGAGAGUAAUUCUAACAUUAGUUGAAAUAAAGAAGUAUUAGAGAUAUCGUUGCUCUAUUAAUUACACAAAGAUGUACAACAUCUCUAGAAUUUAACGUAUAUAUACCGGGAUAGGAUCAAUGGACAAAUAUUUUUACACUUUUUAUAAGCUCUUGGAUAUUUAUUUACAUCUAAUGCUUCUAGUUAAGGUUAAGAUGCUACUAAAUGACGGCAUUGCUUCAGGUAAAAUAUUUGAUAAAGGAGUUUCAUGACGUUAAACUAGGUCCAGCCUUCAUCUUCCUCCUCUGCCAUUUAGGUCAAUAACUCUCCAACAGCAAAAAAUAAAAGGUCUGAAAUAUGCCAUUGACGAAAUUCAUCUUUAUCUUUAUUGCAGUGAAUAUUUCCUAACAUGGCUAUAUAAUACCAUUUGUAUGCCAAGAAAAAAAAAAGCUAAAAGCAAAUCCAAACAAGAAUAUAUCCCAUUCCGAAAAUUUAUUCUAUCUCCAAAGAAAAUAUGGGUUGCCUUCCUCAUUCAAUUAUAAUUUUCCUCGUGAAAUAUAUCCAAUUAACCAUCAUAUAUCAUAUGGUUAUUUAUUUUGUAGAAUUUUGUUGUAAAAAAAUCCAUGUGAUAAACAUUUUACAUGCAUAUAUGAUUAUUUGUUUUCUAGUUUUUGUUGCAAAAAAUCCAUGUUACAUGCGUAUUGUGAUGACUUACCACCAAAGCAUUAAUGGAGGGCUUCCUCCCUCCUUGUUUUUUUCUUUUGCUUUCCUCCCAAUUUUAAUUUGUUUGCAACAAUAUAUUAAAUAGCAAACAAUAAACUACUCAACAUUGUAUCAUUAAUCACAUAGUUGGAAUUUAAGUGAAUCUCCAUCCCCCAAUCUCCAUAGAUGUACUAGACUUUGGCUGCGAAUCCACAAGAUCAGUCAAAUAGGCUUCUAGGGUUUUUGUUGUUUGAGCGAAAUUCCCAGUUUUAAUCUUUAUUUGUUUAUAUAUUAUAUUAGUUAUAAUCCAUGUCAUCAUUCAUGUUAUUUAAGACUAAAAACCUCCACAUUAAUCUUAAUCAAAACCUUUGGAUGUUAUAAAAUUUAAAAGUUCAAAAGAAAUAUUAAUGUAAAAAAUAUUUGUCUCUUGAUCGUAUUCCACAUGUACAUGAGUUAUUUAUAUAGAAAUUUAAACUGAAUAAGCAAAACAUGACUAACAUCUCUAGAAAUUUAACCUUUCUACAAUAGCCACUACUUACUUUAAUUUAGUCCUGCAUCAUGGUCUGGUUUCGUGAUGUUAUAAGGGGUGUAACGUCAUUGCAACACAUACCAUGCCAUUAUUGAAGAUGAAAGGGUUUCUGAUGGCCUGCCAUGUCCUCCCCUCCAUUGAGUUUUUCAGGGCUUAGCUAGGUGGGAGGUUUAAAGCUUGACCAUGUUGCUCUUCCCAGCUUUUCCCUCUUGCCUUUGUCCUUGGGAGCUGCUGUCUCUCUAUUUUUUGCUCCUUUUUUCACGUUCUGUUUUUGUCGUUAGCUUGGUUUGGUCCGUAUUAUGUGACCUCUCCUAGUUGUUGUGGGAUUUUUUACAAUAUUCCGAAAUAUGAGAUAUCUUGAAUGUUUUAAUUUUUGUUUAAAAAAAAAAAAAAAAAAAAAAAUCUAACUGUUAAAACAUUCGGAGUUCUAUACUCCAAAGCACCCUAAAAUUUUUGUUUGUUGUAUGACUUGGGAUUUGUGCCUUUUUUCCGAUAUUCUCUACGGACUCCAUGAACAAACUUUACAAUUUCCCCCUUCCAUCACAAGAAUACUACAGAAAUUAGACAAAUAAGGAGAGAUAUCAUGCUAACCAAAGAAAAUCAUAACUUAAUUACACAUACGAUUACCUCUAAUCCAUGUCCAAAGUACACUAAUAGGAGCAGUCAAAUUACUAAAAAUCUGGAUAAUUAAAAUGAUAUAAUUUCUAAAAUAGCCCAGGGGUAUAUAGUGUGUUCGAAAAAAUAAAUUCACAAAGCAUAGCUUUAAAGUUGCCACAUACUCAUCACCACAAAAAAAAGAAAAAAAAAAGAAAAGGAUUAUAUGGAUCAAAGUCAAUGAACUUAAAUUGAUAAGUAAGUUUUAAGAUUAAACAUAAUAAUUUUCAUAGGAAUUGGUUCUGUAUCGAAUUAUCACAAAAAUAUAUGCCUUGACUUUAAAGUUUAAACUAGUGGGAAUUCGUAGUAUACUGAAAUAUCUUAGGAAUUUAUACCUCGACUUUAAACUAGUGUACUAGCCCCGCCCACAGAGUUGUGAGGGGUCUCUGGCUGCUUUUAGGUCAUGCAACAUUUCUACACGUGAAAGUGUAGUGCUAGCUUAACUUAAAGGCGGGACUAAAAGUCUUUCCUCAUAAAAAGGGGGCAGGCCCACUUAUCGAGUCUCACCUAAAGUAAGAAUCAUGCCUCAGGUGUCUGUUGGAUAAAUAUUAAUAAUCAAUAAUAAAUUUAUAUGUGUUAAUAAAUAAUAAAUACUAAUAAAUAAUUUAAGAGAAUAUGAAAAAAUCGAAAUAAUAUUAGCAGAUAAACUGAAGAUCGAGGCUUGCGUAAUGCAAUGUCUUUGAAACAAAAUUUUCGUCCCUACUCAAUACUUGUAGUUCUACGGAUGUCUGCUGUUUCACCAAGAUUCAACAAUCUAAGUUAGAAUUCCAACAUCGGAAAACUUGAUUUUUGGCGAAUUUCUUUGUGGUUCUCUUAGUAAGAAUGUUUGGGAUUGUAGAAGAAUUUUAUUUUUCUGUGUUCUAAAUACCAUGCAGAUAGAUGUCUAUAUAAUAAGCUUCACCAAGAUUCAACGAUCUAAGUUAGAAUUCCAGCAUCGGAAAACUUAACUUUUGACGAAUUCCUUUGUGGUUCUCAUAGUAAGAAUGUUUGAGAUUGUAGAAUUAUUUUAUUUUUCUGUGUUUUAAAUGUCAUGCAGAUGGAUAUAUAUAAUUUUAUUUUUAUGUGUUCUAAAUGACAUACAAAUGGAUUUAUAAAUAAUAAGUUUAUGAGUCCGUUGAUAUAUUAAUUAUAUUAUAUAUUAAUUAUCAAUUAAUUAGUACACCUCAAAGCUCAAUCUCAAGGUUGAGCCUAAUUUUCUUCUUCAUGUUCCAUCACUUGAAUCACUUUCUAUAAAAGAACAAAACCUUAUAAAGUAAGGUAACCUUUUGAUAGUGACCAAUGUGGGACAAUGAAAUUUCUACUUAAAAUUUCCAACAGUAUCCUUGUUAAGAGAGUUUCUUAGUACGUAUUGUGUAACAAACGGAGCAUAACUGUAAAAGGAAAAUAUAUAUCUCAUGAUUAUAUAAUUGGACGGUGAUUAGCUAGUCGAGUAUAUAUCUUUAUGGGUUAAUUACAUAAUACCCCCUUAGGUUUGAGGUCUAUUACAAUUCCAUACAACAUUUUAAAAACAUUUCACUUUCAUACAUAACCUACUAUUUUAUUUCAAUAUAGUACCUCUGUUACAUUUUCCAUCCAUUGAUCCAUUAAGAGCUGAUGUGGCAGCCACAUUUGUACCACAUGGCUGCCACCUAUGUGCCAAGUGGCAAAAAAAAUAAUAUUUAAAAAAAAAACCUGAAUCUUCUCAACCAAAAGAAAAAAAAACCAUAUCUUAUUCCCCGUGCCCUUCCCCUUCCCUGCAAUCCAAACACCCCAUCCCCCCCACCCAAAACCAACCCGUCUCCUACCUCAUCACCCAAAACUAGAACCACUCCCCCACCGCCGUCCUCUCCUCCUCUAUCUUCGAUUUGAGCUCCAUUUUAAAAAAUUCCUCCCUAAAUCGACCCAGACAACCACAAAAAGCAACGGCAAUAAAGGUUAUAAAACCUCAGAUCCCAUGCCAGAACGAGAUUCGGGAGAUGAUGGAAGAGGUCCGGCGGAGUAUGUUAUUCGUCUCGUCAAAGGAGAAGAAGGCGUGUACAGACGAGUGGGAGGAGGACAACGCAGGGUCGUUGGAGGAGAUGGAAUCGUUGAGGUCGGUGAGGCGAUGGUGGAGGAAGACGACGAAGGAGAGGUGCGUGUUGCACAACCAGGUCUUGAGGAUCAAAGAAGAUGACUCACAUCUCGGUGAGAGUACGGUGUCCAUCCUGCCAAAGGCGAUGAGGCGCCAAUAGAGGUGAGGCAGUCGGCGGCCCUGUGGGAUCUAAGGAGGAGGGCGCUAUUUUUAUGGGUGUGAGUUCUUCUGGGCGUCGGCUGUGGAAGGAGGGAGGUGGGGUGCAAGAGAGGGAGGUGAGUCGGAGGGGGGAAGAUGGGUUUUGGGGAUUAUAUAUAUAUUUUUGAUUUUUUAAAUAAUUUUUCUUUAAUUAUUUAUUCUUAAAUGUAUAUAAUAAAAAAAAUUUGCCACCUGGCAUAAAUUUGGUAGCCAAGUGGCACAAAUGUGGCAACUAUGUCAGCUCUUAACGGAUCAAUUGAUGGAAAAUGUAACGGGGGUACUAUAUUGAAAUAAAAUAGUAGGUGAGGUAUGAAAGUGAAAUGCUUUAAAGAUAUUGUAUGAGGUUGUAAUAGACCUUAAACCUGAUGGGGUACUAUGUAAUUUACCCUAUCUUUAUUGUAAGACAAUUUGCGUAUUUACCUAUUUAGUUCUGGAUUAGACAUGCAUGCAUGCACAUUUGUGGAAAAGGUUUGUUCGAAAUAAUUAAUGUGUUGAAAGGUUAUUUCGGAAUCUUGAAAUGCAUGCAUGGGAAGCAGCAGGGAGUACUAAAAUUAUAAGGGGGCGUUUGUUUGCCCUCACUAAGUGUUAUUGGAUUAGAUUGGACUAACUAUUAGACCAGUUGUUUGUUCCGUAGUGGUAUUAUGUUUAAUGAGAUUAAAGGGGACUCGCAUGGACAAACUCCUUCACUAGGAGUUCUUAGCGAGACCCCCCAUACCCAUGGGAUUGCUAAGACCUCGUCUGAUCUGUUUUCGUAUGCUCCCUCUCAUCCUUUUUCUGCUCUUUGUUCUCUUGAGCACCGACAACCACCAUCACACCACAACUCGCCAACUCUAGCAAGAUCACACCAACAGCCCACCACCACUCUUUCCCUCUCUCCUCACCUUGAACCCAGAAUUUCAAACUGAGGAAGAUCCCGCUCUUAUCGUUGUCCAUCCAACUCUAGCCGUUUGCUUCGCUGCGCUUUGAACUUGACCUCGGACUUGUCGGCUUCGCACAAUUGAUCGGAUCUUGUGAACCCAAUGGUGGGUGAGCCAUCCAAUGCGCUUGAAGGAAUAUGGGAGGCCAAAAACGCCAGAGCCACAGCGGCGUGUUCUCCGCCAAGGGCAAUGGCUUGGGAUUCUUGUUUUCAUUUGGUUUUGAUUUAAAUUGGGUUUUGAUCUCGAACUGGAUUUGAUGUGAUCUGGAAUUGGCAUUUGAUUUGCUCUGUAAUUGUUUGAAUGAUCUGUAAGUGUGGAAUGAAUUUUCAGGAGAGAAGAAGAGAAUUUAGAAAAAAAGAAAAAGAGACUAAAUAAUAAAAUAUUAAUAUAUAUUAGAUUAAAUAAUAUUAUAUUAGAAUAUGUUAUUAUUCAGUUUUUUAGUCCGACACUACACCAAACGCUUCAUUAAGUUAGUCCAGCUUAGUCUAGUAUAAGUCAGCCCAGCUUAGUCCAUGAAGCUAGUUCAGUCCGAAAUAAUGAUCAGGUGCAACAAACGCAUCCAAUAGUAUAGAAUUUGUUUCGUACUAAAGUCAACAAAGGCAUGCAUGCGUGUCUUCGGUUACUAGUACUAGCUCUUGGGCAAAUUUGGCAGUCUCUCUCAUCUCAAUGAGAGAGAACAUUGUCUAUGGGUCUUAAAUCCUGUUAUAUUAUAAUUAAUUGAGUUUUUUUAUUAACACCCCACACGUUGUUGAAUAUACCUUACUUUAAAAUGUAAUACUAAACAACUUGUAACUCUAAUAUGAAAUGACUAUUCGAGCCCUUAGAGUUACUCUUACUCUCCAUUGUAGAACAAAACCCUAAAAACACAAACAAGUUGAUGAAAAUAUAUCUUUUGAUGAAUGGAACAAAAAAAUUGAGUUUUGCUCCUCGUUCAUUCGUUGGUUUUCAUAUUCAAGAAAUUAUUUAAACAAUGGAAUAAAAAUUUGACUUUUUGCAAAGCCCUGCUCUAGUUGGAAUCCAAGAAAUAGGAAGAAAACUGUAGAAUGUUGUAAAAUUUUAAGAUGUAAUAAAUGUAAUAUUCUUGUGGUUGUUUGAUGAUGAAGAAAUUCAAUGUUUUUUGGCUGGUUGGAACUGACAUGACCUUAUAAGAACAGUUCAUACCAUUUGUCCUUCAGGUUUCUUAGAAUCCAAUGUGAUUGUUCAAGAAAAUUUGAUGGAUGUUUAUAAAUCAAACGACAAGAUGGAGAUUUUAUACAAUUUAAUUCAUCUUUCUUGUAAUGUGGAUUAUUCUAUUGUGUGAAAGAGAUGAAGAGUUUGACGUGUGGUUAAUUAGUUGAUGAUUGUGGGGGUGUGUGAGAUGUGAGGUCUGGGGUGUACGAGAUGUGAGGAUAGUAUUGGAAAAUAUGUGGCAUGUGUUAAAAAAAUUUAAUUUAAAAAGUAAAUAUAGAGUGUAUUAAGUAUGUGAGGUAUAGUCAACAAAUUGUGAGGUGUUAAUAAAACAAGCCUAACUUUUCAAAAGUGUAUUUAUUUUUUUAUAUAGAAAGUUUAGAGUGCAAAAUGAGAUUUUUAGAGUGUCAAUAACAAUUUCCUUAAUUGAAUAGAAAUUCUCUUUGUAAUUAUAGCAUGUAUUAUAAAAAUGUGAUUUUCAAUUGUAAUUAGUGUAGAAUUUCUACCUCAAUAGGAAUUAAUAUAUCGUAUAUAUAUUGUAAUAUUGUUCACACAUCAAUACAAAGAGUAAUUAUUCUACAUGGUAUCACUCGUCUAAGUUUUCUUAAGUCCUAGGUUUCUGCUCUCCCCUUCUUCCCUGGACGUCCCACCAUUAUUCCUCAUGGCAUCACCUUCUUCCUCUUUAUCCGAUCAAAACGCUGCAACCUUCCUUAAACUUUCUAUCACCAAGUAUAUUGUUUGGGUUAGUCAACUUAUCUCAUUGGUCAAGAUCUCUGGAAAUAUGUCUAUGGUUCUUCUCCCUCUCCCCUCCUUUCCCUAAACGGCCCCAUGUCUGCUUCAAGGCCCACGCCCUUCAUUCAGCAUCUGCGCCUGCCUCUGCUGCUUCAUAUGCGCCACAAUCUGGACCUGUGCCCGUGCCUAUUGGACCUUGUGCAUAUGCGCCACUAUUGGAUCCGUGUCCACCACACCUCCAACCAGCUCAAUCUCCAGGUCCGUGCCUCCAUAUGAGCCUGCUAUCGAUGAUCCUCCUCCACUGCUUCCUCGGCUGUCACGUCUACUCAUUCAAUGGUCACUUGCCGUACUAGAUGAGCUAUAGCAAGUUUUCUCCUCUUAGAUUUAAUUUUUACAGGAUGUCUGCCAUCCAAAUAGAUUUGUUGACAGUUUUAGCUUUCUCUCUGACUUCCUUUUUAGCCUAUGUAUCAUGGGUGGCAUGAAUUCAACAUUUUACAAACUAUGCCUACUUAUCACAAAAAUGUUCUUUCGUUAUGCUUAUAUUUCUUCGACCCUUCAGACAUAGUAGUUUCUUAGGUUUUAAACCUUGCAAUAUAUUUAGACAUGUUAAAGUCGCCAUCUUGUCCAUGGCUGGUCAAGUUUUAGAAGCAUAACAUCCUUCCAUUAUGUCGUCAUGAAUCCAGGUUAGGUGAUUCAUUUAUGUAUUCUUUCUAAAUUGCUUGAUACGAUACUAUUUACAAUAAUAUAAGCUAACUUGGAUAGUUAUUGAAUAUUUGUUUCUGGUUUCCUUCUCGAUGCUGAAGAUCUUCAUUCACAAAAGAAGUGAGCUAUGGAAGAGUUCAUGAUGGAUUGCUGCGAAGGAUUAGACAUAUACAUAUAUUUAUAUUUUUUUUGGGCAUUCCAUAUCUAAAGUUACCUGAUGCACAGGCCAUAAGAACCUGUGUUUUAUUAUUUUGUUUUUACUUUUUUUUGCAAUUGCUAGCACGACAACAGAGCUUGCAGGACAUGUAUUUUGUCAUGUUGCAUGCACAAACAAAAUUUAUGUGAACUGCGUGCUACUUUUAUUUCUGAUGCAAAGAAACUAUAUUUUAUCAUUGCAACUUUUGUUAAUAGAAACUUUCGAAUUCACCAUUUUGAUUGUAUAUUGGCUCUUGAUGUCAACUUAAUAGAAUGUAAAUGCAAACUGAACUACUUAUUUUACUGUUUCGAUUCACCUAUCUCUUGGUUUUUCAAUUAUUUGGAGAUGACCGUGUUAAUUUGUGGUUUUGUGGUAAUUACUCAAGUAAAAAUGUGCGUCGUCUAGAUUGCUGCAUUUGAAAAUGCGAGUAUGUUGUUGCUGCCAUUUGAGUGAUUUUUUUAGGAUAUUAUUCAUUGCUAUUGUUAUUAUAGUUUGAAAACGCCCAGCAGAGAGCGCUGACAGUUUUUCUAGUAAGUACUUAAGUUGUAAUUAGGGAAGGGGUGGGGUGAUUGCCUCAUGAUUGUUGCAUUGUAAAAUUCACAUUCAGUCUCUAGUUAAAAUAACACAAUCCUUCGAAAACCCUGAGAUCCCGUGAUAUAAGCUGAUAAUAUAUAUCUUCUUCAAAAUGGAUGUGAAGUCGAUCUGUCUUUUAUUUAAGUUUACUGAGCAAAGGGGACUAGCCAUAAAAGCUCGAAGGUGAGCUCGGUACUCGUAGUCAUGAUCAUCACAAUCAUCAUAUGAAGCAUAAGGCUUAACUACUUUUCCAUAACAUUAAUUUAUUUAAUUAAUUAGUACUCAGCUACCAAAGUAGCAGUUAAUCCAUAUGAUUCUCCAUUAACUCUACGGCAGCUCAAUCUAAUCUCCCCCUCGGUUCCGGUCAACGGGCUUAUAUUACCCAUUUUUAAUCAUGGAUUCCCCGAAAUUCUCAAAGAAUGCGCUCUGAUUAGCGCUGAAGUUGUUAACAAUGUCGAUGGUAUCAGCCCCGCUAGUUGAAAACAGCUCUUGAUCGCUUUGGAGCAAGCCUUCCUCGACUUGAAGAUUCGAGAAAUACUUUGCAUCGAAAGUGUCAGGAGUUACAGGAUCCAAAUUGGUCAGUACACUGCCAUUCCCAUUCAGUGGGCAUAUCUCACUCAAUGUUUCUAAGUAGGUUGAGUUCAAGGUCGGAUCAGGACUGCCUGUGCCGCUGAAGUUAUACAAUCGAUCGGUGAAAGUUAGACAUCUAGCACGCCCAAAUGUGUGAGCACCUGUUAAUUUUGCAUGCCAAAUUUUGUUACUAUAAAGAGAGGGAACAUAGUUAGAUAUAUUUUUUUUUGCAGCCGUACGAUUUGCUUGCUUACCAGAUAGUGCAACCAGAUCCGUGGUGUUGAGGCCUACAGCUAAGAAGUUGGCCUCGAGUUCGUCAAGUGUAAAAGUAGGAGCUGGAAGGGCUUCGUUGGCAGCCGUGCGAUUAGCUGUUAAGCUAUCCCUUCUUCCUAAUAGCACUGUCCAUGAAGGACCUCCAGACUGCAACCAUAGAUUAGUUACUCAAAUUCCAAAUCUCAUGAAACAAAAUGCUUUAAAUUGUUGUUGGAGCUUGAAAUGUAUACCAAAGCAACAGAUUCUUCGGCAGCAAUGGCGAGAAUAUCAGCACAGGAAACGACGGCGGGACAAGCAUUCUCCAAUGCAGUCUUGAUAUUGUCCACAACAUCAAAUCCUCUGGCCGAGUUGUUAUUUGGCACUGCUGUUUUUUCGCUGUCAAUGGUACUGUUAGGAUUGGUACUGUUGUCCAGCAGAAUUGAUCCAUCGCAACCCUGAAAUAUAAUCAACAAGUGUUUUUCAACUAAAAAUUGCAUGUUUUUGAAUUUUGCUUACGUCUUCUGAAGUUCUAUUAACAGAGAAGCAGCUGAUAAUAAAAGCACUUUUGUGCUCAGGCAUUGUUCCGAAGUCCAGUAACUUAGAAGCUGCUAAUAUAUACAAAGUAAUCUUGGUUGGUAUGUUUUCAAAGUUGAAUAAGUUGUUCAGCUUAAAUCUUUGAAGAACUAAUUAAACUUCGCAUCUGAUACCACGGAGAUAUUUUCAGGGAAACUAAUAUUAAUUCCAUUUGGAUAAAAAGAAAAGAAAACAUGGACAGAUCUUUUGGUACUCCAACCAAAGUUCUAAAAGACGUUAGGCGAUAGUCGAGCGGCGGGCUAGAGCCUAACAGUUAGGCGGGGCCCUACGAGAACUAGACCAAUUUAAGCAAUUUAUUGUAUAUUGUAUAAAUAAGUGUCUAUUUAUACUUCAAAAGACACAUAAUUGUAUUGGAUAUGUAAAUUGCUAGAUAAAAUAACAUACAAAUUAUAAAGUAUUAGGACAUAUUGUAAAUAUUGGAAACAAACAUAUAAUAAGUGUUUAUCCAAGUAUUCAAUGAGUCUCUUACAUUUUAUUGACAAAAAUAAAAUGCAAAAUGAAAGUUAUCAAUUUUAUGUCUAGGUGGAGUCGCAACCUAGGCGAUGCAUAGGCAGGUUUAGGAGGGCUAAGUGGGCGCCUAGGCGGACACCUAAGCGGGUUUAGGCACACUUUCUUAAUUUUAAAACGCCUAGGGACUAAUUGGGACGGUAACCAGUUGCCUAGUGUAUAAGCAGGAAUUUUCAGAAUAGUGGCUCCAACUACAAGUUCUACUUAUUUUAAUUAAAAGGGUUCUUCACAAAUAAGCUCCCUCAAAAACUAUGUUAGGUCAAAGGCACUUAAAUCUCCUUGCACUAUACACUAAAUAAGCAUAACACCAUAAAUCGAGCUGGUGCACUACUACUGAGGCCAUACUUAAAAACCAAAAUCCCGGACUGGAAAUUUCCAAAAAAAAAAAAAAAAAAAAAAAUCCCGGACUGAAAUUCGUGAUAAGAACACCGGCCAAAGAAAUAUUUUUUUUACAAACAAAGGGUAUCAAAAGCAAAGAAAUGAAUCAUACGUUGACGAAGCAAUCGUGAAAGUGAAGCCGAGUGAGGCUGGCAGUAAUCCGGGGAUCGGUCUGCAGAGCCUCUUCAAUGACUCCACGCACAAUGGUGGUGGCAUUCGGGCAUGAUUCAUCAUAAAACGUAGGAGUCAACUGAGCAUCACCACAUCCUGCACUUGCACACAAGAUUAGUAACACUGCCAAAACAUAUUUGUAAUACAAUUGAGCACUAUAAGGAGGCAUUUUUCUCAGGUGGUGUUCGAUUUUUCUAACAUAUGUUGAUCAAUGCAUAUGUGAGCCAAACGGUAUAGGUCUAUUUAUUGAGUGACAGAGUGAACUGGUAGAUGAGAAACCCGCGUUAGGUAGAUGUCAAAUUAGGUUUAUUUUUUUGGUAAAAAGUUCAAAUUAACUUAAAUAAAUAAAAAUCGAAGCCCUUUUCUCCCUUUUCUCCCUUUUUCUUCUUUACGUGAAGUGAACCAUGAUGAUAUACUGGAAUCCAGAAUGUGGGUCCCUGGAUGCAAUAUAAUCUGUCAUAUGGAGUAUCUGUGGAGUAUGAUUUUCUCUCCUCUUAUUCUCAUCUUAUUCCUUCUCCUUCUCUCACAUAUUGUUUUUUGUCUUAUUGUCUUUAUAAAAAAAUCAAUAUAAAAUGUUGACGUGAUUAAACCGUAACCAUUCAAAUAAAAGAAAAGGAAAAGGGAGAGAGAUUAGGAGGGAGGGAAUCCUCCUCCUAAAUGUUACUACCCUUCCCGCGAAAAAAGGUGAGGUUUCAAUCCAAAAGUUAGUUAAUAAUUAGAAGUGUCCCGAACUUGAAGUGUGUUUAGAUAAUAAGUUUUUUAAUUCGAUCAAUAUGGUAUCUUGAUUAAAAUUCAAAGUCCAAAUUAGAAAACAAUGUAUAAUAAUCACCGCAAGAAAACGAGACAAUAAUUGUAAAUUCUCUUUUCUUAUAAAAAAUAGGAAAAAGAGAGAAGAAUAACAUUAGUUGAAUGGGCGGAUGAAUAAACUAAUGAGUUGAAUAAAAGAAGAGAUAGUGCUAUUCACACUUUUGUUUUUAUUUUUCACACAUUCUUCGUAAUUUUCGGUUGUCAGAUCAAAUAAAUUGAAGAAUAUCACUAAUAAAAAACUAACACGGGUGUGCAAAUGUAAAAAUAAGUGUGUGAAUAGUACUUUCAUAAAAGAAGUAUCAGAUAUAUCAUGGCUUUGUUAAUUACACAAAGACAUACCUAAUUAUAACAUCUCUAGAAAUUUAGGACUUGUUUGGAAUUUUUUUUAAAAAUGACUGAAAAUAGUUUUAGAAAAAAAUAUUUUUGAGUUUCAAAACAACUUGAAGUGUUGCUUCUUGGGUUUAUUUAUAGAAAUUAUACCUAUACCAAAAUUGGGUUGAAAAACGUUAUUCACCAAAAGUGUUUUGACAAAAAUACCCUUUGUUUUUCUUUCCAUUCCUGCUUUGUUUUAUAAUGUGGAACAUGUUGUAAAAUCGACAGUGGGUGCAGUGGAAUAAAUGAAACAAGACACAAAAUUUACGAGAUUCCUCUACAGUCAGUGUGACUGGAGUACGUCCUCGGGACAGCAGUGGUGCUUUCAUUAUAAUUUAGAAUAAUAGGAGUACAAAGAUAACUCUCUCUAUUAUCUCCUCUCCUCUUCCUCUCCUUUCUCUCUUCCUCUCAUUUUCUCUCAUCCUUUCUUUCUUCCUAUCUCUCCGUGAGUCUUCCCACUUUGAUGUUGUGUGAGGUUUGUAUUUAUAUAGAAAAUAGGAGUAGUGUGUAGCAAGCUUCAGCAACCAAAAUGAAGGGCCAAUUAUUUAAUUUUUUAAAUGGACAUCCACUGUUCUACAACACUCCCCAUUGGAUGGCCAUAAGUCUUCGAUUGACUCGUUAAAAUCUGGAUCUGUUUUGAAUGCUUCCCCUGAUGAGUAUCUCCCCUGAUUUCAAAUCAUUUAGGCUGAUCGUUGAUCAUUCUGCUUCAGUCUCUUAGCAAAAAGAGUUUCCAAAAGAAGUGCUUUACUUGUUGUUAACUUUCCACAGGCUUGUUCUUGAACUGGGCUGAAGGGCCUUCUGUUAGACUUCCUCCAAAUGUUUGAAUUUACUUUUUUUAUUUGGAGCUAAAUUUAAUUCAAAUGUGGUGGACACUUGAUCUUGAAUCGGACUUGUGAUUUCUUCAAGGACUUCGAAACUUGAUCUUGAAUGAAGUUAUACCGUGAGAAGCUUCAUGUGGCAAAUGAUCUUCGGCUUUGUCGGGGAUGAAUUAGCACGUGUUUGUUGCGCUUGUCUCCACAUACUUCAAUGUAUCAUUUUCACUUGCCUUACUUGUUCCCCUUGCUUAAGUAGUAUUUUCCCUGGUUUUCCCCUAUGCAUGUGUGGCAUAUUCUCCUGUAGUAUUUGCCUUUUGAUGCAGGAGUGGAAUGCAACCCUUGCAUUUGGAUGGUUCAUCACUUCUUGGUGACUGGAGACCCAGCUCCAACAACAGUUGAAGAUGGCUACUCGAGAGCAAUACUAGGUAAGCAAUUAGGAAAUGUUUCAGGCAGUCGGUUCCUUACCGGGAGUUGGAGUGGAGGUUCCGACAUAUUUAUUUCUUUAUCCUUGUCUUUGCAGGUAAGAACAAGGACAAAGGAAAGGACAAAGAUAUUGCAUGAUAUGAGACACUCUUACUCUCGUCCAUGAAGAUAUGAGAUACUCUUGUUUCGGUGUGACUUGUUUAAAGAGGUAUUCUCGGAGAGGAAGAAAACUGAGUAUUUCGAGAUGCUUUAUUGAAGAUGCAUUCUCGGAGAUGAGAGAAAGUUAGGAGUUUUGGAUGUGUGCCUUGCCAUGGACGAUGAAGGUCGACUUAUAUAGGGAUUUCCCCAAUAGCAGGUAGUGGUGUUGUGCCUUUACUCUUGUCAGCAACUGUGGUGUAAUUAGAACAGUAAGAUUUACGCGUUUUCAACUUUGUCAGAGAUCUUUGACAAAGUUGCACGCGAUAGCAGAAAAAGCUGAGAUUGUGUCUGAAAAAUACCAACGAACUUUAUUCAGGAAAAUCUGGCUUUUGAAAUUCGGAUAGCAGUGCCUCUUCGAUCUCUGAACAAGUAGUUCUGUUGCCUCUUCUUUUAUCGAGAUAUCAAUUAUGUUCAAGAGUAUGCUCAGAAAGUUGCUGCCUGUAGAAAUUUUCCCCUUCUUGCACUUCUGAGAUUUUAUUUAACCUCUUUUGUUUUUCAUCAUUUCUGAAAAUGGCUUACCCAUCUAACAUUUGCUUAGAUUUGAGUCUUAGGAGUGAUACAGACGAGCAGCGUCAGGAUAACAUAUGGCGCCCGUCCUUCUUAUCUUCUAAUGGUCCUCUUACAAUUGUAGACUCUGUGAUGAAGAAUAACAUAACCGCUACUGUGGUAGCUAGGAAUUUUCUCACUCCAAGGGAUAAUAGAAUCAUUUCAAAACGAUCUGAUGAGUCGGCCAUUCAAGACUCUUUAGCUCUCAGUGUUCAGUGUGCUGGCUCUGUUUCUAAUAUGGGUCAACGCUUACUUGCUCAAACUCGCGAAGUUGAAUCAUUGAUGGCUGAGGUGGCAAGUCUUAAAUAAGAGAUUAGAGGGCUCAAGCACGAAAAUAGAGUGUUACACGUGCUUGCAAAUAAUUACUCUACGAGCAUGAAAAGAAAGCUCAACCAGCUGCAGGAAUCAAAAAGUCGAACUCAAAACAGUCACCAAAAGUUCGUUGCUAGAUUUCGAAAGUAACUGAUGUCUUCCCCUUUUGGUGUUUUGCCGAGUACUAGGGUGUCAUAUGAUCAAUCUCCAGUGCCUCCUCAUUAUGGGGUACUUCCGAGUACUGAGGCUUCACAUGAGCAACCUUUGUGAAGGCUUCAUCCUGUUUAUUUGUUUUGACUCAUGUGUAUGCACAUAUCUGUAAUUUCUCGGAGAUAUUAAUAGAUAAGCUUUAUUUCAUUCAGUGUAUUGUGCCAAAUACAAUAAAGCAUAUACUUCACUAAGAUGUGGUACUUUUGGACCAAACAUUAAUUUAUCUUUACCCUCACGAAGAUAAAUGAUCUUUCUUAGUGUUUACAUCAUUUGAGUAUUCAACUCAUAAUCUUUAAUCCAUAUGGUUCUUUUAAUAUCAUAGACAUCAUGGAUAAGAUUCGUGUUGGUAUAUUGUUUGAUCUGCAGCUCGAGACAAUAUUUCUCUCAACACUUUAUAAUCUUUCUUGACUCUUUAGGAGUCUCAAUUUAAUAUCAUCAACUCUUCAGGAGUUCUAAUUUAAUGUCAUUGACUCUUGCAAGAGAUUUUAGUAUGUUGCAACAAUAUCAUAAUGAUAGUACUCACUAAGGCAAUUUAUACCAUCCAUUGGUAUUGAGUACAUAAUUUAGGCUUUACCCUUCGGGGGCUUACUUCAAGCAAUUUGAAUCAUUCAGGGAUUUUCUACACUUUAUGACACAUUUUCCUUUGGAAUUUAUACAGUGCAAUUUGCUCCCAUGUAUACUUGAGGGAUUUACUUAUGGAGAUAUGAUGUGGGUGACUCACAACCCUUCGUAUAUAAUUCUCCAUUCAUAUGAACUCGUUUACAAGAGUAUAAUUAGUAACCUUGUGUCAUAUCAUGUAAGUGUAUUUCAUUGUAUUACAAAUGCUUAUAUGUAACCUUAUUGGUUCAACAUAUUUUGGCUAUUCAAAUAUAUAUAGGUCCAUUUUUCCACAUUCUUACAAAAUUGUAAUGGAAUCGCCUUUCUCCAUUUUUGGCCAAUAAUUUUGUUGACGAAAAAGAAUGAGACUCAAUAUCAACACAGCUCAUUGAUGAAUUUAGUAGCUACUUAUAAAAACCAAAAUUACCAUUGGUUAUCAUCAAUCCGUGAUCCCAUAUUCUCAUGUGCAUGCGCAUGCAUAAAAACUUUUCAUUUAUUUGGAUAUCCAUUGCCUCUCCAAGGGCAUUACACUAUCUAUUUCAGGAUAGUCAUAAUUUAGAGAAUGCGGAUCAUAACCUCUUCUUGAGCGUUAUAGAGCUUGAAUUUUAAUUUCCACUUCUAGGAGUUGAGUCAUUGGAACCUAUGCAUCUAUCAUGCUUCAUGCAUGAGACAUUAAUAUUCCCAUGUCCGUGGAUUGUCCUUUUUGGGACGUAUAUCCAUACGGCGACUGUCAUGCUUCUGGCAUGCAACAAUUAUGCUUCGGGAAUGCAAUAGUUCAAUAGUGCCAUAUUCUUCUUCUUUCGAAUGACUGAACGUUUUGAGUCUAAGGGUCUGCCAUGCUUCAGGCGUGCAACAGAUAAAUCAUUUAUCGCCUCAUUAUAUUGUCUAACAGGGACAUUAAUUCUUGUAGGCACAUUUGCAGCAAGUAUAUAUGAUUUUUUUAUCACUUUCGUUGCAUUAUUAAAAUGGCAUUUGGCAUUUGAAAACAUCGUUUGCAUCAUUCAAUUAUUCUUACUUCAUUUUCAUAUUGAUUGCUUCGUGAAUCAAAAUAAGACAAAUUUCUUUCUUCUGGAACGGUCUUUUCUUAUCAUUCUUCUGGAAUGAUAUUUUUUUCUCAUUCUUCUGGAACGAUAUAAUUUUCUCCCCUAGCGGGAAUAUUGUCUUAUCAAAAUGACAGUCUGCAAACCAUAAAAUAUCCCUAGUCAAGGUUUUUCCAAAUAUGAAUGAUAGAUGGUUAAUCAAAUUCAACAUAAAAUUCCCAGUUUGUAUCGAUGCCUUAUUUUAUACAUUAAAAUUUAAUAAUUUAUAACCAAAAACUCGAGUGUUUAAUGUUUGGCUAGUGCCUAAACACGAGUUGUACUAAGAAAUUUAAUUUGUAACUUAGUGUCAAAAUGCUUAAUAGUGAAUUCUUGUAAAUUUCGUUUUCAUGUCCAUAAGUAGAAAACUUGCAAUUUCGUUUCAUGAGCAGAGCGUGGGUAAUCAAUUUCAUCCGCUUAAUAAAAUGCUUCUACUAAACCAUUUUAAGUAUGGACAUAAGGAACUUCUGGUCCUAUUAAAUAGUUUGUGGAUUGAGACUUUUAUGACCUUUAUUACAAUUAAGUUGAGGCACUGCGGCACUUCAAACUUAAGGUAAUUAUCAAGAAACUUCAUGUCCGAUCUUGAGGAUCUAGGGAUUUCAUGCCUGAUCUUUUUGCAUGAUGGAACUUGGGGUUCAAUCAUUUUUUAUGUGAUGAGGAUCAAGAAACUUCAGGUUCUGAUCUGAUCAAGGAACUUUGGGUCUUAUAUAUACUUAUCGUAACAAAAGGUAAGUACAAUAAAUAAAUUAAAGCAAUAGGCAGUAAUUCCAGACAUAGUAAAUAAAUUGCAUUUAAGUAAAUAAAGCUUGUGACAAGGGCUUUAAUUUAACACCAUUCAUAUAAAUCAAAACUUAAAGCAGUAGGCAGUAAAACUGUCCAUGAUAAAUAAAUUGCUUUAAAGUAAAUAGAACUUGUGAAAGUGUUUUAAACCAACACCAUUCACAUAAAUAAAUAUAUAUAUAUAUAUAUAUAUAUAUAUAUAUAUUUCUUUCUUUUCUAAUGGUACAAACACCAUCCAAAAGCUUUUAUGUCACAUCCCGGCCUGGGGUGGACCACUUCCCAGGCCCGCUCCACCACCGUAGCACGAUAUUGUCCACUUUGGGCUUACCACGCCCUCACGAUUUUGUUUCUGAGAACUCACGAGCAACUUCCCAAAGGGUCACCCAUCCUGGGAGUGCUCUGGCCUCAUUCUAGCUUAACUUCGGAGUUCCUACGAAACCUAAAGCCAGUGAGCUCCCAAAAGGCCUCGUGCUAGGUAGAGAUGAGAAUAUACAUUUAAGAAUUACUCCCCUAGGUGGGUGAUGUGGGAUGUUACAUUUUAUCUUUUUUGUUUUUAUUAUUUCUUUUUCACAUGUUGUGUCGGCAUUAUGCAACGAGAUUCCACCCUUUUUUCAUAUAGCACCAAAACCCUUUUUAUUAUUUUUCAUUCAAAUGGUGCAGAUGCAUCAUUAGAAACCUUUGUCCAAAAAGUCCACUUUUCCAAUUCUUUUUCACACGGUGCUUGAAACACCAUUCCAUAAUCCUUCCUUCAUUUUUCUUAUCUGUCUGUCUGUACUAGUCUUAAACCCAGGGCCAUUUGGGUUGUUGUGGAGGUCACACAGAACCUAUUCAAUCUAAUAAGGCUACCAGAGACUGGCGUUAUUCUUGCAUGGCCCAGAGAACAUGGCGUCGCAAAGCAAGAACUUCCCUAUAGGGACAUAGAUGACAGCGGAGUUGAUGGAGGUACAAGAGAGGGAGGCAUGUGUGGAGUCAGUCAUGCCAUCACCAUCUCAGACAACCGAUUAUUCAUGGGAGUUCUCGAGAUCUGUCAAAAACGACGCUAUCUGGGUUUCCAAGUCUGAUGAGAUUCUUCUGGAUCUCUGGAACCAAUUGUCAAGUACGAGUUUUCUCAUCUCGUGACGACUUCAGGUCGUUGUAAAUUUCAAUUCUUACUGGAAUUUGGUGGGGCGGGCGCUUCAGGCGCAGUGGAGAGACAGAAAAUGGACAUACCUUUUAUUUAUGUGAUAUUUUGGCUAGCAGAGGUAAGGUAGGUAACGCUUUACCAGAUUUAUGGCGUUGUGCUUUCCAUUGACAUGAGAGCUUUCUCGUGCUGAUAACGUGUUGUAAAAUCGACGGUGGGUGCAGUGGAAUAAAUGAAACAAGACAAAAAAUUUACGAGAUUCCUUUACAGUUAGUGUGACUGGAGUACGUCCUCGGGGCAGCAGUUGUGCUUUCAUUAUAAUUUAGAAUAAUAGGAGUACAAAGAUAACUUUCUCUAUUAUCUCCUAUCCUCUUCCUCUCCUUUCUCUCUUCCUCUCUUUUUCUCUCAUCAUUUCUUCCUUCCUAUCUCUCUGUGAGUCUUCCCACUUUGAUGUUGUGUGGGGUUUGUAUUUGUAUAGAAAAUGGGAGUAGUGUGUAGCAAGCUUCAACAACCAAAAGGAAAGGCCAAUUAUUUAAUUAUUUGAGUGGACAUACACUGUUCUACAACAUAACAUGGUAUUUAGAAAUUUUCCCUUUGAUACAUGUUGGCUACGUGUGCCAACGUGGGACUUCCAGACAUCAUUGAUAAUCUCGGAAGGGAGAAAUUUUUAAUUGUGAUAUGAACAUGAGUGGUACAUCAUGUGUUUUUAUGUAACUGAUGAGAAAUUUUACUUUUUAAGUUAGUAGCUUUUUAACACACAUAUCCCACUAUUUGUAUAAUGACACGUGGUGUACCACCUCGUGUGUUGGUCACAAUGAAAAAUCUAUUGAAGUAAGGGGUAUUUCCCCCUUUUUUUUCUCUCGAAUUCUCUCUAUAAAAAACUAAACCACGGCCGCCACUUUUCUUAUCCCCCAACCGCCGAUCUCGUCACAGUUUGGUAUGAACCAAAUGGAUUUCUUUUUAAAACAAAUCGACAUGACUAUGAAUAUAUCAGCCGACUUGAAGGAUUCGAUGGUCACAUACAUUAUUUGAGUAUAUCAUGUGUGUGUUUUUUUUUUUAUUGGUGAAUUAUCAUGUGUGUGCUUUAAGUAAUAGUUGGAUCACCUGCAAAGAACUCUAUGGUCUCAUUUUCUAGAAAGUAAUGACAACUAUCAUGCAUAAGACUAAGGGCUGGUUUGGUAUUGCUGUGCUUUGAAAAAAAGCUGCUGUGAGAAUAAGCGGCUGUGAAAUAAAGCCAGUAGAGUGUUUGGUAAACUUUUUUGUGAAAGUGCUUUUGAAAAAAAAAGCAGGAUGAUAGUGUGUCUUUUCAUUAAAGGAGCACUGUAACUCCGUGUGCUUUGAAAAAACUGGCUUUUUUUCAAAGCAGCAAAUAGCAGCUUCACCUUUUCCUUUGAUUUUCAGCUUACUCUCACAGCAGCUUCCAAAAUAAGCUUUUUUUUUUUCAGUUUACCAAACACAAAAAUGACCCUCAGCUUUUUUUCACAAUGGUUUUUUUUAAAAUCACCUCAAUCCCAAACGGGGCCUAAAAGCAACCACACAAAAGUCUUUUUAGCCACCCACAAGUCGAAAACUACUAUUGUGCAUGUCACAUAAGCAAAAUUUUCACUCUUCCAACUUUAUAGCCAAUCGUGCAAAUUAUUGGUAAAUUUGACGGUGAUCGCAUUAACCUUCUCUUCAAUGCAUGACAUGUGGAAAAAAUCAUCAUCAAACAGAAGUUUGAUAUUAUGCACGUGUCCCAUCUUUAUUUGCGCGUUUGUGUUUGUUUUUUAUUUCAAUAGGUUGAAGAAAAAAAGCACUGGCUCGAGCAAGAAGGCUGCAAGGGUCCGAACAAGCUUAAGAGGAUUGCAAGUUGCAAGUACCUUCUUCGUUUUCAUGUAUGUUUCACUUUUACUAUAAUUUAGUUUUUCUAGUUAUAAUUGUAUAAAUUUUUCGUUCAAUUUAAUAUAAAGGUUCAGCUCAAAAGUUUAAGAUUAUAAUCCACUUUGUUUCGAUUUUUGAUCUCUUGGUGUUUCAAAGACAAAAAACAACACACGAUCCACAUAUCAAUAAAAGGCUUUUAGUCCAUUCCCAUUUAUAGAAUUUUGCCGACUCUACUGCUGUAAAAGGGGCUUAAUAGUGCAAAAGUACGAAACGAAACAAAAAGAGGAAGGGCGAGAGAGAGAUGCAAUUGGGUAUUUGUCGGAUCGAAGCUCUUCCAUACCCUUCCAUUAUCUCCACCGACUCCUUGACUAAAAGAGAGUGUUUUUUGUCUCAUUUUCUCAUCAUAGCUAAAGCUAGAAAGUAUGUUUCAUAUUUUCCCUGUCCGCAACUGGGAUUAGGAGAAAGAGAUUGAGAGAACAGAGGUUGAUCUAAAUCAUCAAACACAAGCAUAUGCCUGUUUCCAUUUGUCAACUUACAAUUUGAAUAGCUUGGGUAACGAUUAUGUUGACCCUAAAAACUAUCAGGUUUACGUGGCCCACAGACCGAGUAAUUAAUAAGCUAACUACGUCAUUCGGUUAUGUGCAGGGCGUGCCAACUCGACGGCCAAGCUCGAUCGGGGAGUAAAAUGUGUUGUUGUGUUGGGCAUUGCUGACUUCUUGAUCCUGCUAUUGCGGCCGAGGUAGAAACACAUCUAGCCUUUUGGGUUCCAGAGCCUGAAGACACGGCUGCUAGUUCUGUGAGUUCACAAAUCGUCAACGCCGGGUUCGGUCAUGGUGAUUAUAUUCGUAAUAGUAUAACCACACCGAACUAGCACCAGACUAUAUGGACACAAGUACUCGAAAGUGACGUAUGUCUUGAUAGUAAAUGUGGUUCAACCGUCGGAAUGUCGGACUCUGAAUCUCACUUGCGAAUAUCCAAUCAUAAAACAACUCGGCGUUCAAUGUGCCGAGCCUAGUAACCUGUAACACCUCACUUCGUUGAGAAGGUUGAUGAGAUGACCUCUACCAGCAAGAACUCGAAAGUCACUAUCGACCGGGACUUGGAUAAAUAACCAGUAGGUCUCGAAGCAGUGCUGUUUAUCCAAACUGAAGGAGGUUCUCCUCGGUCGGUUGAUUCUACGGCUCCAGUACUGUGCUACAUUGGUUCUGUUAAUAAAGCUUCUUGGUUUCGGUGUUGUGCAGGUUGAAUGGUAAGAAGAUGUUGAGAUUGUUGACGGGGAAGCGUCUGGUUUUUGUUGGCGAUUCUCUCAACAGGAACAUGUGGGAGUCUUUGCUAUGUGUUCUUAGAAACUCAGUGGAUGAUAAGAACAAAGUCUAUGAAGUUUCUGGUAGGCAAGAAUUUCGCACAGAGGGCUCUUACUCCUUUGUUUUCGAGGUAUGUUAGUUUCAAUUUCAUAGACUCAUAAAUUCUUCCUUCUUACCUUUCGGCCUUGUUCAUCUUAUUAAGUAAUAUUAAUGUAUUUGUUGUUCAAUGGAUCAAUAGGAGUACAACUGUUCCGUGGAGUUCUUUCAAUCACGGUUUCUAGUUCAAGAAUGGGAGAUGCUGGAACCAAGUGGAUCAAAGAAGGAAACGCUUCGCAUUGAUUUGAUUGAGAGAUCCUCUGACAACUACAAAAAUGCAGAUGUUCUCAUCUUCAACACAGGUCACUGGUAGACUCAUGAGAAAACUUCCAGCGGGUAAUUCUCCUGCUCCAAUUCACUCUAUGUCAUGGAUUUUUUGGAAAGUAGUCACUAGGCAGCGAAGUUAAAAUAUUUAUAAAUCUUGCAGGAAGGGUUACUAUCAAGAGGGUAGCCAUAUUUAUGGUGAACUGAAUGUUGACGAUGCAUUUCGCAAGGCUUUAACGACAUGGGCUCGAUGGAUAGACACCAAUGUAAAUCCUAAGAAAACUGCUGUUUUCUUCCGGGGCUAUUCACCUUCUCACUUUAGGUACAUUUUGAAGACAUGAAAUACUUCAACUUGGUUAACAAAUGUAUUGCAUCUUGCUAAUCUUUUUACUCACAGAGGCGGAGCAUGGAAUUCUGGAGGGCAUUGCCAUGGCGAAACAAAGCCAACUACCAGCUUGGAAUCCACGGAAUAUGGAGGAGCGUAUCCAACAAACAUGAAAAUCUUUGACUCGGUACUCAAGGGGAUGAAGACGCCAGUCAACUAUCUGAACAUUACAACAAUGACUGAUUUUCGGAAGGAUGCUCAUCCAUCGAUUUACAGAAAGCCGAAUUUAACUGAGGAGGAGCGAAAACCGCCUAUGAUCCACGAUUGCAGUCACUGGUGCCUCCCUGGCGUUCCUGAUACAUGGAACGUGCUAAUAUAUGCUCAACUCCUCAAACAUAACCAGAAACAACAUAGACAGAAGAAACAGCAAAAUCAGAGGACAACUUCUUAAAUAUGGAGAAAAAAAAUUAUAAAGUAUACAUGUUUUGUUGGAAAGCUCACCGUACGGAGAAUAUCGAACAAGUAUGAUCAAACGAAGGAUAAGAGCAAUAGUUGUAGACUUGUAGUUAGAAAAAGAGAUGGCGCAAUGUGGUUUAGUGAAAAAUUGUGUUUCCAGUUGUGGGAUAGAGGUGGUGAGGGAAACAGGAUUUAGCCCUUGCGUCCUCUCUGGUGCAUUUGAAGGAGAGGCUUGAAAAAUCGGUGACUCGAAACAGCGAGUGCCGGUGAUCAUGGUGGUCGCAGAAGCUGGUUUUGGUAUUGAGAAGGUCAUGAAUAUAAAAUUCUGGUAUGGUACUGGUUUAACGCCACAAUGUGCAGUUGUGGUUGCAACUUUAAGAGCCUUAAAAUGCCUGCAUGACUGAGACUGUGGCUGAAGCCGGUUACAUGAAAUUUUCCAGGCAUGUCUCAAACACGAAACACUAGAGUGUAAGCGUGGUUGUUACUGCAAACAAAUUUUCGAUUGAUAGUGAAGCAGAACUAAAUGCAGUCAGAAAUAUGCAGCAUUGUGCAGCCGGGGCAUAUGAGCACUUAAUUAUACUCAUCAUGCACUUUGUGGAAAAGAAGCGGUUAGUCACUUCAUCCCAUUAGUCUUAUUAUUGGCAAUAGGAAUUGGACAUCAAUUUCUUGUAUCCGAAGAAAUGAGUCACUAUUAAUAUCGACACAUAUGAGAUCGCCAGCCCUUCGGGAGUUCCUCUAUUUUCUUCUUGCUUGCAAUUGCCUUCGCCUAUGAGCGGUAGGUCUCGGGUUCGAGACUUGGGAGCAGCUUCUCCAUAAAUGGGGGUAAGGCUAGCCGACAUUCACCUCUCUCAGACCUUGUGUAAAGCGGGAGCCUUGUGCACUGGGUACGACCUUUUGCAUUGCAGAUCCUACUAAAACUUUCAAUCCCAGUUUUAUACUGUGGUUGGAACAACGAGCACAAUGCCGGAUUUUCUGACUAGGCCUCGCUUCUAUCACAUUGAUCUUGACACCACCUAUCGGAAAUUAGGUUAUCAGUCUUGCUUGAAAAUCAAUGUAUAUGGCUCUCAUAUGCUCACCGAAGCAACAUUUUCCGACGUCCAUCAAACAAAAGCCGGCCACCAUCUCUUCCCCCUUACAAAUUACACUUCUGCAAACUUCUGUUAUUGUGCUCUUUGAUUGUUAUGUCAGUUUUUUGCAUUACCAAAUAACAAUGUCACAAAUAAAAACAAAUUUUUGUGUCACCUUUUUUAGCUUGCUACGUACAAAUGCUGUUAAAAUUUUACCACAUUAUAAUUUCCUCUUUCAAACAUUGACUCCACUCUUUUUUUAACUAUUAUUAAGGAGAGAGAAGACUCGAAACUAUUACAUUAAUUUAAGAGAUGUGGAGUUUCAAACCCGAAAUGCAUGUAGGGUUGGAAGCUUCUCGGGUUCGAAACAUCGAAUCCACUCUGCAUGCCACUUUUACUACGAAAAAGGGAACCACUUUAAUUUUGUUUUAUUAUCAUUCUUGGCUGUUCAUGAUUUCACUUUAACUACAUAACAUUUAAUUGAUAAUUACUCAAAUCAUAAAAAUAUUGGUUCAGUGUUAGAACAUUUAUCUUGGUAUUCUAAUGAAAGAAAAAAAUAAUUGAACUCAUACUGCUAUCAUAUUUAUGAUAUGGAUAAGUGUGUAUAAUACCUGUAUAUAGAAAUCAGACAACUUAAAUUUAAUAUUUAUAACACUACUGAUACACUAAUGUGAGUUUACUUCGUUAAUAUCACACUUAUGAGCGUAAUAUAUCACAAUCAUAAGUUCAAUAUAUUGCUAUCAAACUCAAUUUUUUUGACCAACUGCAAUGCAAGAGUGUGACUCCUAUAUAUGUAAAUAUAGGGAUGUGAUAUCUACACACCAUUUUUUACUUCUCUCACACCCUUUUAAUUUUCGGCCGUCGGAUCGGAUGAAUUGAAGAAGAUUAAAGGACAAAAAUUAACAAGAGGUGUGAUACCCUGUAAAUAAAAAAAGGUGUGAUAAGAUUGUUAAUAAAUGGAUAUACUGUUAUAAACGAAUGAAUUGGUAAAAUUAUCAAAUAAUGUGUGGUCACGCAAAAAAAUUACUCCAAAUCAAAGUGAGAGGGACGUGAGAUAUUUUUCUUACAAAAAAAAAAAAAAAUAUGCCACUUGUUCAUAAAUUAUUAUUACAUCUGCAUUUGUUUUUUAUGUUCAAUUACAUCUGCAUUCUUAUAUUCAAAAAUAGCAACUUUCAACCGUGCAAGUAGACUAAAGGUUGAUUUGAUAUUGCUGUUAUUUGAAAAAAAAUUACUUCUGUUGUAUUGUGAGAAUAAAUAGUUGUGAAAUAAAGCAGUGUUUGGUAAACUUUUUUUGUAAAACUGCUUUUGAAAAAAAAAGCAGUAUUAUAGUAUUUAAUAAACUUUUAUGUAAAACAGAUAUAAAAAAAAGUUGAUUUUUCAAAGUUGGGUUUUACAGCUUUGUGUUUUUGAUUUUUUUUCCACUCAAAACUGUAAAAAAAAACAAAAACCAAAUGUUUACCAAAUAUAAAAACAUUUUUUUAUAGCCAUUUUUUUUCACAAUUACCUCAAUACAAAGAGCUAACCACCAAACUGAAAAGUGGUCUUCACAGCAGAAACUGUAUGGAAAAUUAAUUCUUCCACCCACACAGGUCACAGGCUCGCAAACAAUGGCGGAUUACUCAACCCAGACAACCCCAAAACCCACAAAGCACCACCACUCCCCCACAAUCCCAAGACCAGAGGCCUUCUCCAAGCCCUCUCUUUCUUCCCCAAUCUUCUUCCCCUCCAGAAGAACCGCCGCCUUUGCCUAUGGCUUCUCGUUCGUCUGCAUCGCUUGCACUUUCUUCCUGGUUUUCAACCCAUCUGGCUACUCUUUCCCUUUCGGCUUCAAGAACAUCUUCAAAACCCCUUUUGAACUUUCCCGGGAAACCCCAUUUUCCUGGAAAGCUGAAUAUUUCCCGCGUUUGGAUGAGAGUGUAGGUUUGCAGUCUGAUAUGGCUAGUGCCCAACUGCCGAACCCAAUUCUUUUCUUGCCCCAAGAAUCCAAUCAGACUUUGUCCCAGAACACUACGAUUCAAGUAACUGGGAAAAUGGGAUUUUCCGGGAAACUGGAGGGUUCAAGAAAAAAUGAAUCUUUUGCUAAAGAUUCUGAUGGGGUUUUGGGGCAAGCAGUGGCAUUGACCUCGAAAGAGAGUGAUGAUGCUAGUGAGGCAUUGUCUGAAUCUGAGAAGCAGAGCAAUCAAACUCAGCCCGGUUAUGAAUUUUCGAGGGAUGAUUGUGACCUGUUUGAUGGAAUGUGGGUGAGAGAUGAUUCGUAUCCGCUUUAUGCUCCGGGUUCUUGUCCUCUUAUUGAUGAAUCCUUCAAUUGUUUUCUUAAUAAGAGGCCGGAUAAUCGCUACGAAAAGUAUAGAUGGCAACCCAAACAUUGCAAUCUUCCAAGGUGCAGGGCUGUUUUUACUUCUGAUUUAAAAGCAUGUUUUGUUUGUACAUUGCAUUGCAUUUGGUUUUGCUUCUAAAAAAGGUCGUACCCAGUGCACAAGGCUCCCGCUUUACGCAGGGUCUGGGAAAGGUGAAUGUCGGCUAGCCUUACCCCCAUUUGGUUUUGCUUCUAAAUUAAGGUAAUUUUGCAUGACUAGUUCGACUUCUAAAGUUAGCAGUUUUAGGAAUUUGUGCUUGUUAUGGUUGUUUUUCAUAAGUGCAAAUUUACUUGUUUGCAAAUUAAUCUUGUGAGGAUCAAUAUAACAAUUACUUGUUAUGACAGUUUAAAAUUCACACUGAAUUUCUGUUUUUAAAAACAACGGAGUUUCGUUGUGUGUACUAAUGUGUCUGCGUGUGUAUGUUUAUGUUUUAUGCUUAUGCAUUCGUGUAUUGUUUUUGUUGAAUAAAGCUUGUUGGUUCAGAUUUGGUGAUGCCGGUUUCUGGUGAACUUUUUGUGCAGGUUGGAUGGUAAGAACAUGUUGGGACUAUUGAGAGGAAAGCGACUGGUUUUUGUUGGGGAUUCUCUUAAUAGGAAUAUGUGGGAGUCUUUGCUUUGUCUUCUUCGAAAUUCAGUGGAUGAUAAAAGUGGAGUUGUUGAAGCGUUGGGUAGGAGCGAAUUUCGUUCAGAGGGAUCUUACUCUUUCGUAUUCAAGGUAUGUUCGCUAUCUUGGAAUUCAAGGUAUGUUCUCUGACUUCGAAUUCAUAGCCUGAUAAAUUCUUCCUUCUCUCCAUUGGAUUUGUGUCGUUGCUGAAUUUCAUUUUGACCAGAGUGAAUUAGAUAGUUCACAACACUAGACCAGAUAUAAUUUGCUAAUGACUUGAGAAUUCAAACAAGUAGAAAUAUUUACGUGUUUUUUUUUUUCUGGAGUGGAUGAAUAGGAGUACAAUUGCUCAGUGGAAUUCUUUCGAUCGCCAUUUCUAGUUCAAGAAUGGGAGAUGGCAGAUGCAAAUGGAUCAAUAAAGGAAACGCUUCGCCUUGAUUUGAUUGAGAGAUCCUCCGAUAAGUACACAAAACUGCAGAUGUUCUCAUCUUCAACACAGGUCACUGGUGGACUCAUGAGAAAACUUCCAGAGGGUAAAACUCAUUCUCCCUCUCACUCUAUGUCAUUAAUUAAUUUUCGGAACUCGGAAAUACUAAACGAAUAUAAGAAUCUUGCAGGAAGGGUUACUAUCAAGAGGGUAGCUACAUCUACGAUGUAUUGAACGUUAAAGAGGCAUUUCGGAAAGCUUUAACAACAUGGGCAAGAUGGGUGGAUACCAACAUAAAUCCUGAGAAAACUAUUGUUUUCUUCCGGGGCUUUUCACCUAAUCACUUUAGGUACAUAGACCACAUCCAGUACUUUUUAACUUUUAAAACCUCACGGUUCGUUCACAAAUAUACAGCAUCUUCAUAAACCUUUUACCCUUUGCAGAGGUGGAAGAUGGAAUUCGGGAGGGCAAUGCCAUGAUCUAAUAGAGCCACUUGCAAAGGAGACAAAUAGAGGAAAAUAUGCAUCAAAAUUGAGAAUAUUUGACUCAGUAAUCACUGGAAUGAAGACGCCAAUAUUCUAUCUAAACAUUACGAGAAUGACUGAUUUCAGGAGGGAUGCUCAUCCAUCGAUUUACAGAAAGCAGAAUUUUACAGAGGAGGAGCGGAAAUCGCCUUUGAGACACCAGGAUUGCAGUCACUGGUGCCUCCCUGGUGUUCCUGAUACAUGGAAUGAGCUUCUAUAUGCUCAGCUCGUUCGACAUAACCAGAAGCAACAACAACAGCAGCGUCAAGACCCACAGCGACAGAAACCCUAGAUAAAUGAUUAGACAGAUGCCUUGUAUAGAUGGGAUCAUGUCAAAAUAGUUUUGGAGAAAAUGUUUUCUGUUGCAUCUUUCUAUAGGAUUGUAGGAGGAAACAAAAUGAUGUGAUAUUCUUUGUAAAAUUGAGUCUCGGUAAUAUAAGCUGAUAAUAUCUUUUUGUGCAAAUGGAAGUAAGAUGAUAAUUGUGAGUUCUGUCAUAUGAGUUAGAAGAUGAGAUCGUUGCUCUCGUAGCCAUGGUCGUCACAACCAUCAUACGAAGCAAAAGCUUAACUAGGUUUACGAUUACACAACCAUAAUUAUUUCAAAUAAUGCUCAACACCAGAGUAGCAGAUGAUCCAUAUGUACGGUGUUAAAUGAACAAACUGUUCCACACGAAGCAAGUGAAUGAGAUCAGUCGGUAGACUCAGCACAGCCUUAGGAGAAAGGCUUAACUACCACCAAAUAGGCGAUCGUGAUGGUAUUUCAAACUAAUUUCGCACUACAUGUGAGCGAUCGAUAUUUAUUUAGAAAAUAGUCAUAAUGGCGUACACGUUGUAGCUGUAAGUCCUUCUCCACCCCCGUGCAAAGAACACGUGAAAUAUGCAUAUAUGAAUCUCUGCGGUGUGAAGGAAACAAAAUGCUCCAAUGAAGCAAGUGAGAUCACUCAGCACGGCCCAGGAAGAAAGACAACUACACCGAUUGUGCACAUCUGAUCUGACCAUUGUUUUAAUUUAAUUUGUAGAAAUGAAACUAGGGUCUUCAAAAAUUGAGGAAUAUUCAGCAGCAUAAAGGUGAUGUUACCACUAGUUGUAGAAACAUGGGGGUCUUUGGAUUGUUUGAUGGAUGUGUUUUGAGUCAAACAAUUACUAGAAGAGCAUAGAAUUUCCGUUAUGUUGGUUUAUGAUGAUCUUCUUUUGCAGGUUGGAUGGUAAGAACAUAAUGGGAUUAUAGUGAGGAAAGCGCCUAGUUUUUGUUGGUGCGUGAUUCUCUUUGAGGGAAUAUGUUAGAUCAUCCAUCGGUCUGUGUCUUGUUAGAAGUUCAUUGGAUGAUAAGAGCGGAGUUGUUGAAGCCUCUCGUAGGAGCAAAUUUCGUACACAAGGAUCUUGCUCGUUCAUAUUCAUGGUAUGUUGUUGAGUUGUUCAUUAGCCAUUUCGUUACAAGCAGAGUGAAUGAGAAAGUUCGCACCACUGGAUACAAUUUGCUAUGACUUGAGAUUUCCAAUUCAAACAAGUAGAAAUUUAUGUUUGUAGUGGAAUGGAUCGAUAGGAGUAUAACCGUUCGUUGUAAUUCCUUUAAUCACCAUUUCUAGUUCAAGACUAGGAGAUGCCUCCUAGUUAACUGAGCUUUCUUCUGCCAUUCUUUGUAAGCUGAAAGAAACUCAAGAACAAGGACAUGCAGAGACUGGCCUGAGGAUACCCGCUCUGAUACCAUGUGGAAAAAUGAUAAAAGUGUGUGUGCGCGUGUAUAUAUAUUCAAUAACAUUUCAAUUAUACGUCACACAGAUUGGAGGACGUUUAAGUAGCAACAAGGAGAAGAUGUACACACCACAACUUUCUCCUUUAGUUAAACCUUGACUGCGGGAUUUGUCUAAGCAACAAACAUCCAUGAAUUAAGGCAAAUGAUUUCGGGAGUAAGAGUGAAACAAAGAAAACCCGAGUUUCCAUGAUAUAAGCUGAUAAUAUAUAUCUUCUUCAAAUAUAUGUGGUUGAUUAUAGUGAAUUCGAUCUGUCUUUUUUCAAGUUUACCGAGAAAAGUGGACUAGUAGCCAUAGAAGCUCAAAGAUGAGCUCGGUACUUGUAGUAAUGAUCAUCACCAUCAUCACAUGAAGCAUCAAGCUUAACUAGUUUUACAUAACCUUAAUUAAUUUAAUUAAUAUUCAGCUACCAAAGUAGCAGCUGGUCCAUAUGAAUCUCCAUUAACCCUACGGCAGUUCAAUCGAAUCUCUCCAUCAGUACCGGUCAAGGGGCUUAUAUUCCCCAUUUUAAUCAUGGAUUCCACGAAACUCUCAAAGAAUGCGCUCUGAUUAGUGCUGAAGUUGUUAACAAUGUCGGUGGUAUCAGCCCCGCUAGUUGAAAACAGCUCUUGAUCGCUUUGGAGCAAGCCUUUCUGGACUUGAAGAUUCGAGAAAUACUUUGCAUCAAAAGUGUCGGGCGUUACAGGAUCCAAAUUGGCUAGCACACUGCUAUUCCCAUUCUGCGGGCAUAUCUCACUCAGUGUUUGUAAGUAGGUUGAGUUCAAGGUUGGAUCAGGACUGCCUGUGCCGCUGAAGUUAUACAAUCGAUUGGUGAAAGAUUGACAUCUAGCACGCCCAAAUGUGUGAGCACCUGUCAAUUUUGCAUGUCAAAUUUUGUUAAUAUAAAGUAAAGCAACAUAGUGAGGAUAUUUUUUUUUUUGUAGCCGUGCGAUCUGCUUGCUUACCAGAUAGUGCAACCAGAUCAGUGGUGUUGAGGCCUACAGCUAAGAAGUUGGCCUUGAGUCCAUCAAGUGUUAAAGUAGGAGCUGGAAUGGCUGCGUUGGCAGCCGUGCGGUUCGCUGUUGUGCUAUCCCUUCUUCCCAGUAGCACUGUCCAUGAAGGACCUCCAGACUGUAACCAUAGAUUAAUUACUCAAUUACAAUAUCUCACGAAACAAAUGCUUUAAAUUGUUGUUGAAGCUUGAAAUAUAUACCAAAGCAACAGAUUCUUCGGCAGCAAUGGUGAGAAUAUCAGCACAGGAAACGAUGGCGGGACAAGCAUUCUCCAAUGCAGUCUUGAUACUGUCCACAACAUCAAAUCCUCUGGCUGAGUUGUUAUUUGCAAAUGCUGUUUUUUCGCUGUCUAUGGUACUGGUAGAACUGGUACUAUUGUCCAACAGAAUUGAUCCAUCGCAACCCUGAAAUAGAAUCAACAAGUUCUUUUCAUCUCAAAAUUGCACGUUUGGAAUUUUACUUCUUCUGAAGUUCUAUAAACAAAGAAGCAGCUGCUAAUAAAAGCACUUUUGUGCUUGGGCAUUGUUCCGAAGUCCUGUAACAUAGAAGCUGCCAUAUAUACAAAGUAAUCUUGAUUGGUAUUUCAAAGUUGAAUAUGUUGCUCAGCUUAAAUCUUUGAAUAACUAAAGCAUUGCAUCUGAUACUAUGAUAUAUUUUCAGGGAAAUUAUUAUUAAUUCCAUAUGGAUAAAAGGAAAAGAAAACAUGGGCAGAUCUUUUUGUGCUCCAACUACAAGUUCUAUUGCUACAAUUGAAUUAAAAGGGUUCUUUACAACUACGCCAGUCAAAACUGUUGAGAAUGAGUCUCAUAUUGAUGGAAUGAAGGAUAUUGCAUGAGCUUAUAAGUAAGUUGGUUUAUUCCCCAUAUUACCAAUUAGUUUUAUGAUAGAACCUUAACUUUCUUAAAAAGCUAUCUUAAAUAGUCAAAACACGUAAAUCUCCUUGCACUAUACACUAAAUAAGCAUAAUACCAUAAAUCGUACUGGUGCACUGACUACUGAGGCCAUUCUUAAAACCAAAAUGCUGGACUGGAAUUCGUGAUAAGAACACCGGCCAAAGAAAGAUUUAUAACAAACAAAGGGAUCAGAAGCAAAGAAGUGAAUUAUACGUUGACGAAGCAAUCGUGGAAGUGAAGUCGAAUGAGGCUGGCAGCAAUCCGGGGAUCGGUCUGCAGAGCCUCUUGAAUGACUCCACGCACAAUGCUGGUGGCAUUCGGGCAUGAUGCAUCAUAAAACGUAGGAGUCAACUGAGCAUCACCACAUCCUGCACUUGCACACAAGAUUAGUAAGAUUACAAAAAUAUAUUUGUAACAAAAUUGAGCGCUACAAGAAGAAGGCAUCUUCUUAGGUGGUAAUCGAUUUUUCUAACUUAUGUUCCUAAAUGCAUAUGUGAGCCAAUUAGUAGGUCUAUUUAUGGAGUGACAGAAAGUGGAUUGGCACCAAACUGACACGCUUUAUUGGAUAUAAAAAUGAAAGCAUGUGUUAGGUAGAUAAGUCGAUCAUGGAUUUUAAAGUUCAAAUUUAACUUUGAUAAAUAAAGAGUUGUGUUAUCCACAUAUUUAUUUUUACUUCAUACACAUCUUCUUAAUUUGCAGCCGUCGGAUCAACUGAAUUAAAGAAUAUCAAAAGGCAGAAAUUAACAAAGAGUGUCUGAUAAAUAAAAAAAUAUGUGUGAAUAGCACACUCCUAAAUAAAUAUAUAAGCCCUUUUAUCCCUUUACAACCACGCAGAUACGCUGGAAUCCAGACUGUGGUCCCUGGAUGCAAUAUAAUCUGCCAUGUGAAGGAUAUAAUGUUGCGCAGGAAAAAGUUGAGGUUUCAAUUCAAAAAGCACCUAAUAAUUAGAGGCGUAUUGAACUUGUAGUGUGCAGAUAAAAAACGUUUUUUGAUCAAUAUUGUAUCUUGAUUGAAAUUCAAGCUCCACAUUAGAAAACAAUGGAAUAACUAUCACUGCAAGAAAAUGAGACAAUAUUUGAAAAUUAUCUUUUCUUACUAAAAAAAGAAAAUGAAAGAUUCUAACAUUAGUUGAAUAAGUGGAUAUAUAAAUUAAUGAGUUGAAAUAAAGAGGUAUCAGAGAUAUCGUUGUUUUGUUAAUUACACAAAGACUUAUAACAUCUUUAUAAUUUAACGUAUAUUUACUGGAAUAGGAUCAGGGAUAAACAUUUUGACAAAUAUUUUUACAUUUUUUAUAAGCUCUUGGAUAUUUAUUUACAUCAAACACUUUUAGUUAAAGUUAAGAUGCUACUAAAUGACGAGAUUGUUUUACGUAAAAUAUUUUGAUAAAGGAAUUUCGUGAAGUUAAAAUAGAUCCAGCCUGCAUCUUCCUCCUCUGCCAUUUAGCUCAAUAACUCUCCAACAACAAAAAAGAGGUUUGCAUUAUGCCAUUGACGAAAUUCAUCUUUAACUUUAAUGCAUUGAAUAUUUCUUAACAUGGCUAUAUAAUACCAUUUGUAUGCCAAGAAAAAAAAAGAAGCUAAAAGCAAAUCCAAACAAGAAUAUAUCUUAUAUCCCAUUCCGAAAAUUUAUUCUAUUUGCCAGGAAAAUAUGGGUUGCCUUCUUCAUUCAAUUACAAUUUUCCUCCUGAAAUAAUAUCCAAUUAACCAUCAUAUAUCAUAUGAUUAUUUAUUUUGUAGAAUUUUUUUGUCAAAAAUUCAUGCGAUAAACAUUUUACAUGCAUAUAUGGUUAUUUGUUUUGUAGUUUUUGUUGCAAAAAAUCCAUGUUAUAAACAUGUUACAUGCGUAUUGUGAUGACUUACCACCAAAAGCAUUAAUGGAGGGCUUCCUCCCUCCUUGUUGUUCACUUUUGCUUUCCUCCCAAUUUUUUUUUUUUUUUUUUUGCAACAAUAUAUUAAAUAGCAAACAAUAAACUACUCAACAUUGCACCAUUAAUCACGUAGUUGGAAUUUAAGUGAAUCUCCAUCCCCCAAUCUCCGUAGAUGUACUAGACUUUGGCUGCGAAUCCACAAGAUUAGUCAAAUAGGCUUCUAGGGUUUUUGUUGUUUGAGCGAAAUUCCCAGUUUUUAUUCAUUUUAAGUUUUAAUCUUUAUUUGUUUAUAUAUUAUAUUAGUUAUAAUCCAUGUCAUCAUUCAUGUUAUUUAAGACUAAAAGCCUCCACAUUAUUCUUAAUCAAAACCUUUGGAUGUUAUAAAAUUUAAAAGUUCAAAAGAAAUAUUAAUGUAAAAAAUAUUUGUCUCUUGAUCGUAUUCCAUAUGUACAUGAGUUAUUAUUUAUAGAAAUUUAAACUAAAUAAGCAAAACAUAGCUAACAUCUCUAGAAAUUUAACCUUUCUAAUAGCAACUAUUUACUUUAAUUUAGUCCUGCAUCAUGGUCUGGUUUCGUGAUGUUAUAAGGGGUGUAACGUCAUUGCAACACAUACCAUGCCAUUAUUUUUCAGGGCUUAGCUAGGUGGGAGGUUUAAAGCUUGACCCGUUGCUCUUCCUAGUGGCGGAGCUAGAAUUCUGAAUGAGGAGGGGCAUUUCACAAAUAUGUGUGUGUGUGUGUGUGUGAGUGUGUGUGUGUGUGUGUGAGUGUGUGUAAAAAGUUGAAUUCAUAACAUGUUGACAUAUGCAAUUUGUGUAAUCCUCACAAAACUGAAAAAAAAUCUCUUAAAUUCAAUACUAAGAAGAAAAAAAUGUAAAAAUCUAGACAACCAAGUAAGAGGUAGGUUGUGGAAGGCUAAAGAAAAUACAAAGAAGUAGAAAAGGAAGGAAAUGGGGGAGAGGUUUGCAAAUCAAGAAGGUGGGUUGCCUUAGAAAAUUAUAGGGUGUCUAUUACUGUUAGGUGAGAGAAUCGAACCAGAAGUGAGAUUGCUUUUUCCAUUAAAAUUGCACAUCUCCUUUAAAACUUCCCUGCCAAACUUAUCGUUUCAUUAGACAACCGAAAAAAUUUAAAAUCAAAACAGCUUAACGACGUUGUUUGCUUCAUCUUCUUCUAUGAGAUUCACACCUCAGAUGAAGUCAGGAUGGGCCGGGACUACCCUAGUCCCUUUGUGGCUCCGCCCCUGGCUCUUCCCAGCUUUUCCCUCUUGCCUUUGUCCUUGGGAGCUGCUGUCUCUCUAUUUUUUGCUCCUUUUUUCACGUUCUGUUUUUGUCGUUAGCUUGGUUUGGUCCGUAUUAUGUGACCUCUCCUAGCUGUUGUGGGAUUUUUACAAUUUUCCGAAGUACGAGAUAUCUUGAAUGUUUUAGAUUUUUUUAAGAAAAUACAAAAAAAAAAAAAAAAAAAGAAGAUCUAACUCUAUACUUCAAAGCAUCCUAAAAUUUUUGUUUGUUGUAUGACUCGGGAUUUGUGCCUUUUUUCCGAGAUUCUCUACGGACUCCAUGACAAACUUUACAAUUUCCCCCUUCCAUCACAAGAAUACUACAGAAAUUAGACAAAUAAGAAGAGAUAUCAUGCUAACCAAAGAAAAUCAUAACUUAAUUACACAUACGAUUACCUCUAAUCCAUGUCCAAAGCACACUAAUAGGAGCAGUCAAAUUACUAAAAAUCUGGAUAAUUAAAAUGAUAUGAUUUCUAAAAUACUAAAAAUCUGGAUAAUUAAAAUGAUAUGAUUUCUAAAAUAGCCCAGAGGUAUAUAGUGUGUUCGAAAAAAUAAAUUCACAAAGCAUAGCUUUAAAGUUGCCACAGACUCAUCACCACAAAAAAAAAAAAAAAAAAAAAAAAGGAUUAUAUGGAUCAAAGUCAAUGAACUUAAAUUGAUAAGUAAGUUUUAAGAUUAAACAUAAUAAUUUUCAUAGGAAUUGGUUCUCUAUCGAAUUAUCACAAAAACAUAUGCCUUGACUUUAAAGUUUAAACUGGUGGGAAUUGGUAGUAUACUGAAAUAUCUUAGGAAUGUAUACCUCGACUUUAAACUAGUGUACUAGCCCCGCCCACAGAGUUGUGAGGGGUCUCUGGCUGCUUUUAGGUCAUGCAACAUUUCUACACGUGAAAGUGUAGAGCUAGCUUUACUUAAAGGCAGGACUAAAAGUCUUUCCCCAUAAAAAGGGGCAGGCCCACGUUUUGCUUAUCGAGUCUCACCUAAAGUAAGAAAUGCCCCAGGUGUCUGUUGGAUAAAUAACAACAAUUAAUAAUAAAUUUAUGUGUACUAAUAAAUAAUAAAUACUAAUAAAUAAUUUAAGAAAAUAUGAACAAAACGAAAUAAUAUUAGCAGAUAAACUGAAGAUCGAAGCUUGUGUACUGCAAUGUCCUUGAAACAAAAAUUUUGUCCCUACUCAAUGCUUGUAGUUCUACGAACGUCUACUGCUUCACCAAGAUUCAACAAUCUAAGUUAGAAUUCCAGUACCGGAAAACUUGAUUUCUAACGAAUUUCUUUGUGGUUCUCUUAGUAAGAAUGUUUGGGAUUGUAGAAGAAUUUUAUUUUUCUGUGUUCUAAAUGCCAUGCAGAUAGAUGUCUAUAUAAUAAGCUUCACCAAGAUUCAACGAUCUAAGAUGUAUAUAUAAUAAGCUUCACCAAGAUUCAACAAUCUAAGCUAGAAUUUCAGCACCGAAAAACUUGACUUCUGGCGAAUUUCUUUGUGGUUCUCUUAGUAAGAAUGUUUGGGAUUGUAGAAUAAUUUUAUUUUUAUGUGUUUUAAUUGUCAUGCAGAUGCAUAUAUAUAAUUUUAUUUUUCUGUGUUCUAAAUGUCAUACAAAUGGAUUUAUAAAUAAUAAGUUUAUGCCUGAGUCCGUUGAUAUAUUAAUUAUAUAUUAAUUAUCAAUUAAUUAGUACACUUCAAAGCCCAAUUCCAAGGUUGAGCCUAAUUUUCUUCUUCAUGUUCCAUCACUUGAAUCACUUUCUAUAAAGGACAAAACCUUAUAAAGUGAGGGAACAUUUUGACAGUGACCAAUGUGAGACAAUGAAAUUUCUACUUAAAAAUUCCAAUAGUAUCCUUGUUAAGAGAGUUUCUUAGUAUUGUGUAACAAACGGAGCGUAAUUGUAAAAGAAAAGUAUACAUCUCAUGAUUAUAUAAUUGGACGGUGAUUAGCUAGUCAAGUAUAUAUCUUUAUGGGUUAAUUAUAUAAUAUUCCCUCAGGUUUGAGGUCUAUUACAAUCUCAUACAACAUCUUUAAAACAUUUCACUUUCAUACCUCACCUACUAUUUUAUUUCAAUAUAGUACCUCCAUUACAUUUUCUAUCCAUUAAUCUAUUAAGAGCUGGCGUGGCUGCCACCUGUGUGCCAAGUGGCAAAAAAUUAAUUAUUUUUUAUUUCUUUUAAAAAAAAACCUGAAUCAUCUCAACCAAAAAAAGAAAAGAAAAAAAAACCACAUUUUCUUCCCCAUGCCUUUCCUCUUCCCUACAACCCAAACACCCCCAUCUCCCCCCCCACCCAAAACCAACCCGUCUCCUACCUCAUCACCCAAAACCAGAACCACUCCCCCACUGCCGUCCUCUCCUUCUCCAUCUUCGAUUUGAGCUCUAUUUUAAAAAAUUCCUCCCUGAAUUGACCUAGACAACCACAAAAAUCAACCGCAAUAAAGGUUAUAAAACCUCAUAUCCAUGCCAGAAUGAGAUUCGGUAGAUGAUGGAGGAGGUAUAGCGGAGCAUGCUGUUCAUCUCGUCGAAGGAGAAGAAGACGUGUACAGACGAGGGGGAUGAGGACAUCGCGGGGUCGUUGGAGGAGAUGGAGUCGUUGAGGUCGGUAGGGCGACGGUAGAAGAAGACGACGAAUGAGGGGUACGUGUUGCAUAGUCAGGUCUUGAGGAUCAAAGAAGAGGACUCCUAUCUCGGCGAGAGUACGAUGUCCAUCCUGCCGAAGGCGAUGUGGCGCCAAUGGAGGUGAGGCAGUUGGCAGCUCUGUGGGAUCUAAGGAGGAGGGCGCCAUUUUUAUGGGUGUGUGUUCUUCUGGGCAUCGGCUGUGGAGGGAGGGAGGGAAGGAGAGGUGCAAAAGAAGGAGGAGAGUCGGGGGGGGGGAAGAUGGGUUCUGGGGAUUAUAUAUAUUUUUAAUAAUUUUUUUUAAUUAAUUAUUCUUAAAUGUAUAAAAAAAAUUGUCACGUGGCAUAAAUUUGGCAGCCACGUGGCAGCUAUGUCAGCUCUUAACGAAUUAAUUGAUGGAAAAUGUAAUGGAUGUACUAUAUUGAAAUAAAAUAGUAGGUGAGGUAUGAAAGUGAAAUGUUUUAAAGAUAUUGUAUGGGGUUGUAAUAAACCUCAAAUUUGAUGGGUACUAUGUAAUUUAGGGCUGGGUUUGGUUCAAAACGGUUCGGUUUUUUGCCAAAAUCGAAACCGAACCGAAAUUUUGGUUCAGUUCGGUUCGGUUCAUUUUUUUCGGUUUCGGUUUUUUCCGGUUCGGGUUCGGUUUUUUUUCGGUUUUUUAUUUUUAUUUUUUAAAUGAUGUAAAUGGAAGGAACCUCCCUAGCAACCUCCCAGUUCUCAUAUAUCAGAGAAUUGAGAGCCUUAAAAUCCUGAAUAUAUUCAAGUAAUUCAACUUUAUGAUCAUGAAAUAAUACAGAAACAUAUAUUCAAAAUUCUCAAAACUUAAGCAAAUACAGAAACAUAUAUUCUUCAAGGAAAUGUACAUCGUCAGGAUUCAAAAUUCUAAAACUUUAAAAUUUACAAAAUCAUGAAAUAAUUCGACAAAUUAGUUGAUUGAUGCAGAUCGAAACAAAAAAAAAAAAGCAAAUGGGUUCGUCUAAAUGCCAUAAUCGGACUCCAAUAUUGCAUGCCCAAGGCCCACAUUCAAAUUCAUAGUCAAGUCCACAAUAGAUCUAGAAAAUUCCAAAACUUAUUCAGAGAAAAAUACAAACUUUUUCACCUUAAAUUACAUAAAUUUCAAAUGGGUAACCAUAAAAUUAAAAACCCAUGAACUGACAAAUAAAUUAAACCCUCAACCUUUGCUGCAGCGAUAUCACCAUGACCGUCGCAAGCUCUUACAAUUCCUCUUUUCGUCGGGUCUCGAUAUGGGCGAGGGAAAAUCAUGGUUUGGAAGAAGGAAUCCGCGAGGAGGAUAGGAGAGGACUGGAGAGAGAGUGAUUUGGAGGAAAAGAGGAAGGAGAGAGAGAGAGAGAGAGAGAGAGAGACUGAGGAAGCAUAGGUAGAAAGGAAGCAGCGAACGGACAGAGAGAAAUAGAGAAGUGUUUGAGAUCUAAAAUGAAAUGGGAGUGAGACGGCUAGGGUUUGCAAAGUUAGAAAAUUU
rnacentral:lncRNA from 1 species